rnacentral:rRNA from 1 species
CAGCCGCCGCGGGAAUACAGAGGGUGCGAGCGUUAAUCGGAUUUACUGGGCGUAAAGCGUGCGCAGGCGGUUAUAUAAGACAGAUGUGAAAUCCCCGGGCUCAACCUGGGAACUGCAUUUGUGACUGUAUAGCUAGAGUACGGCAGAGGGGGAUGGAAUUCCGCGUGUAGCAGUGAAAUGCGUAGAUAUGCGGAGGAACACCGAUGGCGAAGGCAAUCCCCUGGGCCUGUACUGACGCUCAUGCACGAAAGCGUGGGGAGCAAACAGGAUUAGAUACCCCAGUAGUCCCUGUCUCUUAUAC